UAGCGUAGGGUGCAAGCGUUGUCCGGAAUUAUUGGGCGUAAAGAGCUCGUAGGCGGUCUGUCGCGUCGGCUGUGAAAUCCCGGAGCUCAACUCCGGGUCUGCAGUCGAUACGGGCAGACUGGAGUACUGCAGGGGAGACUGGAAUUCCUGGUGUAGCGGUGGAAUGCGCAGAUAUCAGGAGGAACACCGGUGGCGAAGGCGGGUCUCUGGGCAGUAACUGACGCUGAGGAGCGAAAGCGUGGGGAGCGAACGG
rnacentral:rRNA from 1 species